UGAACUUGAAUAUGCUUACCGUAGACAGUAGGUGCCGCAGGGCUUAAUUUCCUACCGAGGUGUUGUGAUAGAAACAAGAAGUGUAUGGCGCUUGCCUGACCACUUUCGUUUUAUCAAGCCUUCGUGAAUCUGCGGAGGCUUUUCUAAUGCCUGC
rfam:Paenibacillus riograndensis SBR5 isolate SBR5(T) genome assembly, chromosome: I